UGGAGAACCUCCAUAGAUCUUAAAAACAGUG
rnacentral:piRNA from 1 species